CAAGAAUUUGACCUCCAAACUUGCCAGGUGAAAACACAGUUAGAUCAUGCAGAACAACAUUUUGGCCCUAAGUGGCAAAUGGAGCCCAGAACUGGCGUUUGCAACAAAGAAAUUAAACCUCUCAGCCAGGGUCAUUUGGCUAUUUUCACCCAAAGAGUACAAAGCUGUUGAAAGGAAAAGCAACUCGGGAUAAAGCCCAUAGUUGGGGAAAGAAAAUGGAAAGAAAUGACAUUUAAGAUGGGAAAACAUUUUUGCAAAACCUAAAGCCGCCCCCUUUUUUCUCUGUUUUAUGUAUCGCCAUGCUGACACUCUCUUAGCAACUGUGCCUUUUGUUUGCUAGGAUGAAUUGCACAAGUUUUGCAAAGGCACAACAGUUAAGCGGCAGACACUGAGUCCUGGUUAAGAAGAUUGCCAACAGGGAGAAAAAAAAUCCAGUCUCUGCUAUGAAAGGCCAUUUCAGUUUACUUGGAGCAUACAGCCUAAUUUUUAACUCCUCCCUAUCUGGCUACGAAAGAGCCAUCAACUUCUACAUAGCUGAUUUCUUUCUUUGGGAAAGAAAAGACCCAGUUGACCCAAGAAUGCGACAGAGCUGCAAAAUGGGCAUAAUCCUACUUGUGAGCAGGGCUGGAUAUUUAAGGAGUAUUUAAUAGAGGGAGGAAUUAUUACUGUAUUUUUUAAUUGAGGUGCAUAAUUUAUGGCUUAUGCCUAAUUUUCAUUAGUUUACUACCUUAGAAUUGUGAGAAGCUGGCUGUGGGCAGGUUUAAGCCAUUUAUGGUUAGAGGGGUUCUGAAGGCUGAUCAAAGGGACUUGGGGCCAUAGGUCAUCACACCCUAGCCUAAUGUUUUAUGUUUUUUUUUUCUUUUAAGUAUUUUGAAUGCAUAAAAGCUGAGUUUUCCCAUUGAUCAUUUGAUAGUCAUUUUGAAAAAAAAACAACCUGAUACGCUAGUACAACGUGAAUAAGUGGAUAAAGGAGUUACUGCCCAGUUAGUGUGCAUUGUAUUAUUGACAAGAAGUUAACCAUAUGAAGCAAAGUACAUUAAAUUAUUUUAACAAGGCAAGAAAGGAUGUGAAUCUCUAAGCUAAGUGCCAAAGUCUCAACUAAUGUGUAAUGGUUGUUUGUUUGCUUGCUUGCUUUUGAGACAGUGUUGACUCCUGGGGACAGCCAGAUCCCUACAGUCUUUUGUAGGAUUUCAGAAGUGGUUUUUUUUUUCUUUGUCACUUUUUUCCUAAGAAUGAAAGAGAAGAAUUGGCCCAAGGUCACCCAACUGGCUUUUAUAGCUAAAGUGGGACUAGAAUUCACGCUCUACCAAUUUAUAAUCUGUUUCACUUCCAGAUGAAGGAUCCAGUCAGACAAGGAUCCAUCUACAACCACUCAUCAGAUGCUGUAGAUGGGACAUUGUGAAAGCAGAGUGGUCCUGUUACUUACUGUAUGUCACUCAAGAAACAGCAGUGGAGGAAGCUAGUCCUUAGACAGGACAAAUGAUCUACGUUCUCAUGAGCAGAGCAUCCAACAGGGCUGCCUUCCAGCUUCUCCAUAUUCCUGACACAUCGGCUUCCAAAGUUGCUGAAACACAGUGCUACAUUUUUUCAAGAGGAGAUGGAACAGCCCAGAGGUGCAGCAGAAAUUCCCAGUGGUAUUUCUUUCUUUGAAGAGCCAGAAACGAACAAUAUAGCAAAUGACAAAGUCAAAGAAGACAAGGCUUCCAUUGGCUAAACUUACAUAUCCCAAUUUAUGAAAUAACUGGAACAUCCUAUCUGAUAUAGGUUUUGCAAAAUACAAAGGUUAAAAAAAAUCGUGUUUUCAUUCCAGUGCUGGGAAUAAAGCUAGAAGAAGUCCAUGGUUGCACAAACAGAAGACCAGGAAACAGUUUAAAGAGAGGUGGAUUGCAAGGUUACAAAUUCAUUGCCAAAAACUGAAGUCUCGAAAUGAGGAGGAAAGAUUGUGAAAAGAGAACCAUUGCUUGCACUUGCUGACGUGCUAAGAUUUGCUAAGAUUUCCUUAUACGUGGAAACUAUUCUUCAGAGAUGGACUUUGCAGACCUUUUGUUUAUGAAUAAAACUGAUGUUCAAACAGUU